AUUGAACGCUGGCGGCAGGCCUAACACAUGCAAGUCGAGCGGAUGAAGGGAGCUUGCUCCUGGAUUCAGCGGCGGACGGGUGAGUAAUGCCUAGGAAUCUGCCUGGUAGUGGGGGAUAACGUCCGGAAACGGGCGCUAAUACCGCAUACGUCCUGAGGGGGAAAGUGGGGGAUCUUCGGACCUCACGCUAUCAGAUGAGCCUAGGUCGGAUUAGCUAGUUGGUGGGGUAAAGGCCUACCAAGGCGACGAUCCGUAACUGGUCUGAGAGGAUGAUCAGUCACACUGGAACUGAGACACGGUCCAGACUCCUACGGGAGGCAGCAGUGGGGAAUAUUGGACAAUGGGCGAAAGCCUGAUCCAGCCAUGCCGCGUGUGUGAAGAAGGUCUUCGGAUUGUAAAGCACUUUAAGUUGGGAGGAAGGGCAGUAAGUUAACACCUUGCUGUUUUGACGUUACCAACAGAAUAAGCACCGGCUAACUUCGUG
rnacentral:rRNA from 1 species